rnacentral:misc_RNA from 1 species
AAUGGUGGCGCACCAUAUGCAGCCAAUAUCGAUGCUUCGAUUGCGAUACUAAACACCAACAUAAGUGCAGCUACAAGCUUGCUAGUGUGGACGACUCUAGAUGUUAUUUUCUUUGGUAAACCAUCGGUGAUAGGAGCUGUUCAGGGCAUGAUGACUGGUCUAGCUUGCAUUACCCCAGGAGCAGGGUUGGUUCAAUCUUGGGCGGCUAUCAUAUUCGGAUUUCUUUCUGGAAGCAUUCCGUGGGUGUCUAUGAUGGUGCUUCACAAGAAGUCUACGCUGCUACAGCAGGUGGAUGACACUUUAGGAGUGUUUCACACCCACGCGGUGGCCGGCCUAUUGGGUGGCCUCCUCACCGGCCUCCUAGCAGAGCCAGAUCUUUGCGAACUAGUUCUGCCAAAGAAAACAAGAGGUGCAUUUUACGGUGGAAAUGGUGGGGUGCAAUUCUUGAAGCAAAUGGCUGCAGCCUCCUUUGUUAUAGCAUGGAACAUAGCGUCCACAACAAUAAUUCUUCUAGCUAUAAGGUUGUUCAUACCGUUGAGAAUGCCCGAAGAACAACUUGUGAUCGGAGACGAUGCUGUUCAUGGAGAGGAAGCUUAUGCCCUUUGGGGUGACGGCGAAAAAUAUGACCCAACUAACCAUCAUGGACAGGAUAUUGCCCCUUCACCAUAUGGUAUUGGUGCUCGAGGCGUUACCAUUAACUUGUGAGAUACGGCUUUGUGUUUGUUUUAUACAAAAUAUUAAUGUCUAUAAAUUUUUGUAAAAGUUGGAUCAUGAGGGUAUUAAUUUAAUUUUGCAAGAAAAAAAAAGGGGGAAAUUUGAUGCUUAU